rfam:Schistosoma rodhaini strain Burundi genome assembly, scaffold: SROB_scaffold0003814
UCACUGCUGAGGAGUCCCACAAUAGGACGAAACGGCCUUGAAGUAG